rnacentral:rRNA from 1 species
AUGUUGCCGCCGCCACAGACCCAUAGUCCUUCUCUUUGUUGGAGUCUUCCUUCUCUGGAGACAAAACAGUUUGGUGUCUUUGACAUGCUUGGGAUCGACACAUCGUUCAUGCCAUGGUUGGAUUUGAAUGGGGGCAGCCGUUUGCAAUCAAAUUCAGAAGAUACACAACCUAAGAUCGAAAUAUUCCUACCUGAACCAAAGGGUUCUACUGUUUGUGACGUGCUUCUUGUUGAUCAUCUGCUGCUUUGGCACGUCAAGGGCCAAUGCUGGUGUCAGGACCACUGCGAUCACAACCAAAGCCAAGUAGAUGCUGCUCCGCUCUCUACUGAAGAAGCAUUUAUAGGUUAUUCUAUGCAUAAGAUUGCGCUUUUAUGUGUCGUUUCCUUCAAGCUGUCAUUGCAACAGAAGAUGAAGUGUAUCUGUGUGAUGCCGCAUGUCGUAGUUCUAUCACUACGCGGACAUGUGCAAGAAAUGCAAGGAAGAUAG